rnacentral:lncRNA from 1 species
CGGGCUUUGACUAUAACAGAUACACAAGUGUCAAACUGUAUUUAACUUAAUAGUAAUUAUGAAUAACAUAACAUUGUUACAAGUGUCUAGAAUUGGUUGGUACUUUAAAAUCCCAUGAGGAAAGUUUAGGUAAAUCCUACAAUAAUAAAAUAAUAACUUCAUUUAAAUUAAAAAGAAUAGAUAACAAGUUAUGUGAAAUGCCUGAAUAAACAGAAUCAAUGAUUACUAAAAAACAUCAAAAUAGAAACUGAGUGUCUUUUCCCUUGGCCCAAUACUUUAUGUGUGUAAUAAUUUCAUUGAAAAUAUCUAUAACUAACAUUUAAAUAUUGAAAUUGAUAAUUUAGGAUAAUCUGAGAACAUAACCUAAAAUGAGAAAACAAAGAACACAUGUAAAAGACAAUAGUCCAAAAAGAUAACUUUAUUGGGAUUAUGUCUAUAGUUGUUAAAGUUUGUUUUGUUGAAAAUCUGUGUUAAAAAACCCUUAAUUUAGGACCAGUACAUAUAUUUAUAUAAAACAGUAGGUAACUGUAAUACAUGUGCCUUCAGGCUAAUUAAUUAUAAUUCUCAAUUAUUGGGAGAAUAGGCUACAUUCAAAAAUUUUGAAAUAUUUAAAAGGUAUUCAAAUAUAUUUGACAGACAAAAUGAGUGCGAUGUUAUCAUCAAGUGGCUUCUAGGAAUCCAGUGGAAAGGCAAAAUUAAAAUCCCAUUGCCCCACCACUGGUUUGGACUGUGGGACUGUGUGGAGAAAAGAUAACAAAAUUUACCGUCUUGGCAACGCCACUGGAGCAUAGAAAAUUCCCAUUUUGAUCAUACUGCAGCAAUAUGGACAAGUUUCCAUUUAAAAAGAAUGUUAAAAAGGGUCAAAAAAUUACCUUGGAUUGUUUAAUUUUCUAAAAUUCCCGCCAUAGCACAUGGGAUUUCACUUGAAAGAAACAGAACAUCUGCACCGCCAAUAGAACUCUGUGACAAUCGACAAUCGUCGUAAAUACCCGCGAUAUUUAAAACUGUUGACACUCGAACUUCAUAAAAUAAACUUUACAACGUAUCACAAUAAACUUAAUAUAAAUAAUUAUGAUUAAUAUUAAUUACAAAACUUAGGAGAGAACCAAACACACGUCGCUAACCCCUAGCAAAGCAGCACUAAACUGCCAAUAUGGCGUCUAACGGUACGUCACGUGACCCCAAAA